ensembl:lncRNA
GACAAACAGCUCAGUUCUUUAGAUCUGACUUGUGUUGACUUUCAAAUAUCAAAGCUACUAGUGAGAUGACUGUCAGGAGCAGACAUUUUGAGUAAUAGCUAGUUCAUAGGCAGUAAAUGUGCAUAAGACUAGAUGGGGAUGUCCCCUGGUGUGGCACCAUGGGAGUUCUGCAUAGCUGACAUUAUCAUGAGAAACUGCAUGCAAUACUUGAUGUUCUGCUUUUCACCAAUUCUCAUCUUUAAAGUACAUCAUUUUUGGUAGUUUAUAAGUGGUGUCUUAAACUCUGUUUUAGUACCCACAGAUUUCUUGAAAUCUUUCUGUACCACCUUCCAUCAUUAGACUAGAACUUACUCCUGCAGUUUUCUCCUUUACUCAUGUUUAGUAGCUUCAGAGUAGUUGAUACAAGUAUCAUUCACCAUAUAAAAUACAGAACUGUCACUGGUACAGAAGAUAAAGCAGUUGAUCAUAAAGCAGUGGACUGUGUCAUGUCUUGACUCUUCAUCAUAGCAUUACACUUAAAAAAAAAUGAUUUGGUCUCUGGCCAUUGGCUUUUUUGAUUAUUAUUACUUUAUUAUUUAGAAUGAGGUCUAGAUGAGAAGGUAUUGUGAAAAGAACUAAAUGUCUCUGAGAUUCUUCUCUAGUCUUCUCAGUACAUCCUUCUUGUGCCUUCCUGAUGACUCAUCUGUUGGCUCUUACUCUACUUCAGUGUAGCAAUGUUAGUAGGUACCUGUCUACCUUUACUUGGUUUGGUAAAUGUGGGGGGAGUGGAGACUGCCUGCUAAUGUCUAACACAGGUGACACUGGAAAUGAGUUCUCACCCUAACAUCAUCCUAUGCUGCAAGUUCUGAAGCUCUUCAUGUUUCAGAAGGAGAUUUUGAAAUGCAGAAGGCAGACAGAAAAUGGUGGGUAAAUGGGGUGAUUUAAUAAAAGGAUGCUAAUAGCUACACCAGUAGGAUUCCUGGAUGGAGGGGUCUCAAGUACUGGCCCAGCGAGUAGAGAUAGAGAGUUGUAAAAUUAAUCUUCUCUCAGUUAUUUUAAAUUCUCUAUUUUUCUGACAAAGUUUUGUUCUUACUGUUAAAGAAAACUUAAUAUUCUGUAGCUUACCCAAAUCAUUUAAUGAAAGAACAGUUGAAUUCAUGAAGUCUGUUUUCUUGGCGUUGGGUGUUGUUUUUUUUAUUACACUUAAAUUGUUAGGGUGAUAUGAUGUACAAGUAGUUUAGGUGUAACUAUCCAAAUACAGAGUGCUUGGUUAUAGCCACAUGCUGGCAUCUUCAGACUUGUUAGAGUCUGGUUCAGGUUCUAUAAAUGCAUAGCAAACUACUCAAAGCUUUAAAUGCAAACAGCUGUAAUUUGGGUAGUCCUAAUAUUUUUUUGUGAUACAAAAGAUCAACAUUUCUGGUCAUAAUCAACCAAAUCAACCAUCAGAAAUUGCCAGAUUUUUGGGACUAAACUGAAAUUGAGGGAAGGCAUUUGUCCAUGGUUGAUUAAAAAUUAGUUGUUCAUAAUGGUUCUUAUAGAUAGCCACCAUCCUAAUGUGUGGUUUGUUUCACAAGCUUGGUAAAUGGCUCUAGAUAAGACUUAAUGGAAGAAAAGCUUGUUUUGGAGAUGAGUGUUCAGUGCAUAUCUGGGGUUCAGACUGGCUUUAAUUACUGCCAGGUGAGCUAGCUCAUUAGUGCUUGCUAGUACAUAGUCUGAACCAUAUUAUUAAUAAAGUAAUGUUUGAGAAUUCAAAAAGUAGCCUGUGAUAAACACUUCAGUGCUAGCCCUUGUAUACUGUAGUUACUUAGUCACUUUGAAAAGUGUGUGCUCUCAUGAGUUUGUAAAGAGAUUCAGACCUGCAGAUAAGUUGUGGUUGGUCAUGCUCUACUUAGGGUAAAAGUAUACAGACCUGUUUUCUGUGGGAAAAACUGUGAUGUUCAUAGCUGGCAUUCCAGGGAGGGGAGAUAAAAACAGGAAUGGAUAGGGAAAAGGAAGAAGAGCUAGAAAGCUCAGUUGAGGCAGAAGGCUACUGUAACUGGGGUUACUUAAUAAUAAUUCUCUACGCUUUGUAUGCUGCUGUAACUGACAAGAAUGCUAGAACAACUGGCCUGCUGUGGGGCACGUUAGCAGUUUGGAUAGAUUCAGAUACCUACAUCUUUUAAGAUUGUUUAUGACAGUACUCUUCCCUGCUCUAGAAAAGAAAUCUAGCAUGUUCCAGCUUAGUACUCUUUUCUAGUCACUUCUCCGGUUUUUUUAUGUGUUGUCUCUGCAGAGCUAUAGAACACAAACACUUAAAAGUACUGAGUCAUCAGUUAGUUGUGUUUUGAUAUGUACAUCUCUUUCCUGCUCAUCUUCCCCCACCCCUCUGAAUAUGUAAAGACCUGUACUUUUUGAGGAGAAAUCAACCUUUAUUCCCCAGUUGUAAAAUAAAUGGAAUAGAAAUUGAAAGGUUCUAAAUACUUGAAAAUAUCUACACAGUGAAUCCUAUCAAGCUCUUCAGGCUUAGGUUUUUUUGUCUUUCCAGUUGUUUGUUUUUUUCUCUUGAAGAUUAAAUGCAUCUUGAAGAGAGGCAUUUCUUGUUUCCAAGUGUCUCAUUCUCUAGUUAAUAUAGGAAUGGACACUGCUAGGAGGCUCAUCAGACUACCUCUAUUAGUGCACUAAAAACAUGAAAAUAAAAGGUUUAGUAAAAAAAAAUGACUUGGAAAAUGUGUGGAAUAAAAGAUAUUCAAAUUGCUAAGAGUAGCAGUGUCUUAAGAUUGUUCUGCUUGUCAGUGGAUUACCAGUCUCUAGAUAAAAAGCUGUUGUCUAGCAAAAGCUUUUGAAAACACAAAAACAGUGACUGAUACCUAAAUUGCGUUACUGGAAAUUGUAGGUGAGAUGGAGCUGUGUAGUUGGUGUUAGUUUAAAUAAUUCCUUUUACUACAUAGGAUAAUAAGCAAGGUUCUGCUCCCAGUUUUGCCGUGUGUUUUUGUGUGCAUCAGAAUUAUCAGAUAAAGUAUGUAAGCAAGUCAUGAAUAUGCAUACAUGUCUCUUCUGCAAUUCAUGAAAUCUCUUCAAAGUUGUUAAAAUUACGUUCUCAAGAUACGUGGCAAGAAGAUCUCUCUUAGUACUUUGUGCCCCCUUUCAACCAUCGCAUAACAAUGCUGGAAGUUCCUGUUGCAGUAUGAUAUCGCUCAGGAUGCUGAAGUUCCUUUUGCACAAGUUUUGCACUCCGAACUACUCAGUUCAUAAGGUGAUUCCAGUCUGAAAGUUGUUAGCAUUCUUCUGUAUGUCACAAAGUGUGUGCUCCUUGAAUCUGUCAGUUCCUUGCAGUAGAAAUACAGCCCUGCUCUUGCAGUAAUGGUCUGUGAGUGUUUCUGAAAGUGUUGGAUGGGAUUUCUGUGCAGGUGAGUAUGCUGUAAGAACUGACUAGGUCUUAGCUCAAAUAAGCUUGCUGACAUACUUGUAAGAAUAAAUGUAGAGAGAAUUUCAAGAGUUGUCAUGAGCAGCAAACAUACUAGAGGUCUUUGGAGUGUUUUGAACAGUCAGCCUCUUGAGCUUGGAAAUGCUCCUAAGAAAUGGACUGGAGAUUCUGAGAGGGAAAAUAAAGAAAGAUUGGUUCUAGUCUUCUUGGUCUGUAUGCUUUAAUAUCUGGAUGCCUGGGUAAGUAAAGUAGUCCUUUCCUUUUCUUCCUGUUUGCAUAUCCGUUUACAGAAAACAGGUAUCCCAGGUGAAAUCAAAUGGUAAAACUGAAUACAUCCUGAUGACCAGCAUUUAAGAGGCUGCUUCAUCAGGAUAGUGAAUGCAGGUUUUGCUCCGUGAGAAUUCAUGAGCAAUCUAAAAUACAGGUUGUCUGCACAGAUCAGUGAAAACACUUUGGCUGCCCAGGCCUGAGUCAGCUCCUGUUUGAGGCUGUUUUCAAUUAGGAUGUUUCAUUUUACCUUUAAUUUCCUAGCAACUCGUGUCUAAGGAUUGUGCCAAUGACUUUGACAACAGAUGCUCACUUCUUGUAUCUACUACUCGAGUUAUUUCUGUCUUUUUUUUUUUAAGAUCUGAUUAUUUAAAUUAAGCCGGUAAUAAAGUGCCCAGUCAGUAGAAAAAAAAAAACAGUUAUAUGUGGACUCAUAGAGGUACUGUCCUUGUGGUUUAGAAGAGUAAAAUAGAUUUAUUCAUAUCACAUUUGUGUGAAUAAACUAUAUCCAAAUAUGAGAGAAGGUUGAGAUGGAUAGAAGAAAAAACUUAGUGGUAGAGUAGGGGAGAGAAUGAAAGGGAAGAAAGAUAAUUAUUGAAAUGGAAGCUACAGGUAGGUGAUGUUAAGACUAAGCUUUCUUCACUGAAGUGUUGGACAGUUUGGAUUGAUAAGUGUUUUUCCUCCUCUGGAUCUCCAUAAUGCUGCAGAAAUUGUAUGUAUCGCAAGCCUAGUUUUGUAAACACUGAACUCAGGUUUUUUUCUUUGUUCUAUGAUUUUAGUGCAGGGAAACAGGAAGGGUGGAAAAAAAGUCUUCAGAGCUUUCUUUGCUGGAUUGGUGGACUAUUGUUAAUUCUUAACAUUAUACCUUUGCAUUAAGUACUGAAUGUGUGGAAAAGUGUUUAGGCUUCUCAAAGGUAUCUAGUCUUGCUCUGUUCACAUACUAUAUACAGAGGCUUUGGGGGCUUGUUUCUCUUUAAAGAGAAUAAAAACAUAAAAUGUUACAUAUUGAAUUAAAAUAGUUUUUCCUUUUGAUUCUCUUAAACACUGUAAGUCACUACAGGUCAAUAAUUCAAGUUACUUCCCUAAUUCACAUAAGUCAGUAACAAUAACUUUUUGUUAUGGAAGUUGAAAAUAAUGGUUAAAGAAGGUUAAAGAAUGCUCAGAGCCUUGGAGAAUGAAGUCUCUCCUGGAUUCCAACUGAAGAUGACUAUUCUGUACUGAAACAACUUUGUGAGUCUUACAGCCUUUUCCUGGCAGCGUAGCCCACUGUAACCCAUAUACUGAUUAGAUGCUUCUCUGGGUUGCUUCAGUGUAGUACUUGUCAACAUACCUGGACACAAACUGGAAUCUGAGGUAUACCCCUCAUCUACCAGCAUAAUUCCCUCCCCAGCUCAAGCAACAUCUGUGGCCUUGAUGGAUGUACUUCAUGCUCUGAUGUGGGAAUGGUUACCUGAGGAAAUAGUCUGUAGAAGCUAUGAACAAAAAUGUAUGUACCAAGGCAAUCAAUACUGACAUUUGGGUAAAUGAUGGAUCUCGAAGCUUCAUGGAGUUAUGUUUAAAAGUAAUCACUCCCAUUAAUGUACAGAGGUUGCUCCAAUAGUAAUGCCUUUUAUUUCUGUGGAAAGAACAGAUACAAAGAACAUAAUAGUGCAUUUGAUAGAGCAAACUUUCAGUUGCAAAACACUAUUUUUCAACAUAGUCACCACUGCUAGCUAUGUGUUUUUGCCAGUGAGGAACAAGAGCCUGUGUGCCGUGCUCUUAAAAAAUCUGCACCACUGGAGGUAAAUUACUGUUUCACAGCUGCUGUGACAGUGUCCUUGCUGAAACAUACCACCCACCAUCUGACUGGUCUCCAUUAAUGCUUGACAAGUGUUGGUAAACGUCACUAGGUGCUGAUUUUUCCACAUGGAGGAAUUCUGUUCCACAUGUUUGUUACAGACUUCCUUUCUGCUGCCAUCUGUCACAUGGCAACAAGAUGCAAUGAAUGUUCUUGGGAAGAUUCAACCUCUGCUCCCAUACCACCAGCAUCUACCUCUGGUGUUGUGGGCCAGUGUAAUAGAAUAAGAGGCAUUACUUCUGGAGCAGCCCUCAUAUUUUUUAAAUUAGGAGGAAAGAAGCUAUUCUUAAGAGAAAACAGUCUUUGUAGUUCUACUUGAUGAGUGCUUCUCUAGUACUGAAGAAUUCAAAGUUUGGAACAUAUGUUGAUUUGUAGAUUUGUUCCUCUUUGGAUAAGGAAGCUGUAGCACAUUGGGAAUUACUUUUAAAAAUCUGCAGAUUAAUAGGAUGUUAUGUUUUACCAUAUGUCCUUCUAGAAGAAGCUGGGGAGCCAACAGGAUGUUUGAUUAUCAUGAAUGACAUAUACAUGCUAAAAGGAAUAGACCAUGGAAGUUGGAUGAAAUUAAGCUGAGAAUUAAAAUAACCAACUGUUCUUCGUGUGGUGGUAUUGGCUUCCAGAAGUGGCAACAGUGAGAAACUUGAGAACUAGGUCGCUCACAUAACACCUCAGCAGGCUGGAACUUCAGCUCAUGCGUGAUUCAUUAAAGAUGCCAGAGUGCCAUCUCCAUAGGACAGCAAUAUCACCUUGUUUCAUUGCGGUUACACUGCAUGUGCUCAUCCUCACUAACCUGUGGAACUGGUGCAUUUAUCAUUGGAUGCUUCUCCCAUGAGAUUUGAACACCCAGAACAGCAGUUAGCUGCUUCUCUCUCUCAUUCACUGAUGAGAGAUCUUGAGUAUGCUCAGUCUCUACUGAUCUCAGAUCCUCAUCUGUUCACUUUGGGCCUUAGCAAAGACACAACUGAUGUCUAGGUCUCUCUGUACAGCCUGUAUUGUACUUUCAUAACAGUAAAAGUUACAGUAAGGGGGGAAAAAAAAGGGGAAAAUGAUUAUGGCAGAUAAUCCAGUCAAAUUUUGAUCCAGAAGUUCACUGUUCCCAGUAAUGCGUAACCUUGAGAAAAUACCUUGGGUAAGGGAAUGUUGACAGAGAUAAGUAAAAGGAUGAUUUUUAUGUUUUGAUGAAGAGUACAUAAGAAGAGGAAUGUUAGGUCUUUAGACUUGGAAGCUUUGUUCAUUGUGCAGCCUGAUGAAAUAAAAUCAUAACAAAUCCAACCCAAAUGCCCUUGGAGUGUCUGAUCUUCCCAGCUGAUUUGUCUAAGGAUAUCAGAAAUUAACAUCAAGAAACGUAGAUAUGAAUUGACAGAUUAAACAUUCAAGACUUUUGCAGAACAGGUUAUUUGUUUUUUUUAGUAUGAGAUAUUUCCAAAAAUAGAGUUUAAUCUGGAUGCAUCAUGAUGAUAAACUGAAAAAGAUGAAGAUAAUGUUUAUUUUAAUUGACCUAAUUUUAUUUAAUAGCACAGUUACUUCUAAGCUUUGGCCAUCCUUCGGAUGGAACAUUUUAUAGAUACUUUUACUUCUGGCCUGCUGAAUUGUCAUGUUCCAAUCUUAUUGUCCAGUACUUUCAUCAGGAGUUUUUGUCUUAAUAUGUAGAACCUACACAACAAUAUAUGAUGAGCAAGUUUUCAAGGUUAUAGGUUAUGAGAUCCCUUUUCUAGUGUAAGGAGAUGUGGGCUGCCAUUAUUAUUUUGCCUAAGAUUCUUCUGACUUCUUGAUACCAAGCUGGAGAGAAUCUUCUGACUUAAUAUUUUGUAAUAGGUAUCAGGAAACCUGUUUCUAAACUUGAGUACAUCUAAGAAAGGUCACCUUCAGUUAGCUCCAAAUCAGGGAAACUACUAAAUGUUGGUGCUACCAUCUUCAUCCUUAAUGGGAGUUGAUAAAUUAUAUAAGCAAGCCAGGAGCUACCUGAGGUUCUUCAAGCUUCAGGAAGUGGUCUUUCUUUUCAGGUGCCUCUUGUUCUCCUAGUUAUGCACUUUUUUUUUACUGUGUCUGUGUAUAGAUAAUGUGUAUCUGUUGUAUCUGUAAUGUGUAAAUAUAUGCACAUGGGAAUGAUACUAAUGCACAAAACCUAAUGUCUCUUUACAGUAUAUGGCUGAGAAUAGGAUGGCUAGAAAAAUGCUUUCCUGUGUAGUAUCUGCUACAAAUAUCAGGAAAUGGAGGAAAAUCAGAAAAUCAGGAAAGAAUCACUUGCUAAACAGAGUGUAUGGGAACUGUUGAGUCAUGGCCUGAACCACUGAUGGAGCACCUAGGGAAAAGACCUCGUCUGCAAGAACUUUUAAGUUAAGUUCAUGUCAUUAGAGGUAUAAAUACAAUAUUAGGAAGUAAAUAACGAUCUUUAUUUGAUCAAAUACAAAGUUUACAGAAUGUUAAUAGGAUGACUGUUACAAUGUGUGUUAAGUGAGAUAAGAAAGUUGGUGACAGAACUUACUUUAUGCUUCAUAUAAACUGCUCUGGGAAAGAUGCUAGCUAGCUGUUGCUAUGUUUGAACAGUUGGUGGCUCCAAUGCUUUGCAGCUGUCGCUAUACAAGUCGCCAAAACAAGUUAAUUCAGUUCUAGCUGUGUAUAUUGAUCUAGUUAGAAAUCUAAAAUCAGAAUCACAGACCUACUAAAUAAACACUCCCAACUUUAAGUCAUUUUGUAAAUACUUAAUAGUUAAAUAAGCAUGAAUUUCAAUAUCCUGUCAAGCUUAUGAUAAUUUAAGAGGCCACCUUGCAAAACGGCUGUUCAGAAUCGGUAGCUAUGUUCCUACAGCCAGCAUAGCUAGCAAGACUGCUUCUACUCCAUAUUGCAGGAUUGUACAGGUGAGACAGAUGACAGAUACCAUGACUGAAAGGGAGGCAGGGGGGAGUUGUCAAAAGGUCAGUUCCUGGGAAAGAUGCAAAGAAAAUCGUAUUUACUGUGCAGUCAUUCCUUAAAUUGAGCCUCACAAAUGUUUAUAUGCUUUAAAAACAUGUUUAAAAUAAGGGGUUUAGUGGGCAGUGGGUUUUGAGAGAGCAAGAUUAUAGCAACAGAAGAGCUGAUGAUGGUGAGCUGUCAUUUUUGGUGGCUGCAAGAACUAUUAAUAAAAGGAGAGGUUAGAUAUAAUAAAUAACUUUGUAUAAUGUAUUAGUUCAGAAUUUUGAAGAAAGCUUUGACUUAAAAAAUAUUUAAAUAGAAAUAGAAAUUUCCAUGGAUGCAUAUACAUACUUUUCUAAUGUGUUUUUUUUGCUUGUUUUUAAUUCUUGGUUCCAGAAAAUGUCAUUGGAGCAAUGGAACAUUCCUCCCUGAGUUUUCAUAUUCCGGGAAAAAUAAAGUGUAGAAUUAUUUUGUUGGGAAACUAGUUCAUGUAUUUUAACUGAAAUAUAAAUAUUAUGCCAUCCUAAACUAUUGUAUGUACUACAUAUUCUAAUUUUCCUUUGUCUUGUUUCUCAUUUGGAUUAUAUUAUUGUGUUCCCUUCUUUAAACUUCGGUAUCUUCUCAUGGGAACAGGACUGCAGGACAAUCAUGAGGACUGCAAACUUCAGAUAGGGUUUAGCUCUCACAGCUAAACUGGGGUAGAUAACAACUUGAAAAGAUGUAGGCCUGUUGUUAGAUUUGGCCUGGUUUGGCCUAUUACUUGACAAGGGGGUGAAGGGACCCAUGGACCCCCACCCUGGGAAAGGGAGGGGAAGGGAAAAGGUAGGAAAAUGGGCCUGGAUGAAUGAUAAUGGCAGCAAUGGCCUAAGGAAAAACUUGAUUUAUUAAAUACAGUAAUGGAAUGUGAGAUAACGCAAUGUAGUACAGUAUGAUUGGAAUUGAAGUUAAUAAAUCAAAUGAAAUGAGAGUUUCUGAAACCGAAGUCCAUACUGUAGGCAAAACUGCCAAGGAGCAAAGAGAAAGGUCUCAUGAGUCCCAGUCAGUUUUCUCUUACCCUCCAAAUGAAAAUGGAAAAAUGAAGGCUUCUGGGAGUUGUAGUUCAGCUCAGUAUUCUCUUCUGAGACGAGGAGACUGGAAAUACCAACAGUGCACAGAAUUGCAACAUCAACUCUUUAACUCCCAGUGCGCUACAUGAUGUUGUAGUGGAAUACUGAUCCACUGAUGUGAAAAACCAUCAAACCAUGGCACCAGUGAAAUCAUGAAUGCAGUGACCUAGGUCUAUGUCAGUGCAGUCUGUAGCAUUUAUUUUUCUAACUUUGUAUGAUUAAAUAUUAUGCACUGAUGAAAUUCUGUUGGGGCAAAGGUUGGGGUUGUUGCAGUGGGGGACAUCAGUUGCCACAUGCAAAUGAAAUUCCUUAGGAAGACCUGUUUUUUAAUUUCUUCUGUCUCCUGGAGGAGACAAAAAACAUAGAAACAAAAAUAUAGAAACAGCCCUGCUGAGCAGGAUUUGUUUAUACAUCACCCAAAAAUGGAGACAUUAUAUCUUAGUAAUAUUUCAUCAGACAAUAUACUCUAGCAAAAUGACACCAAGGAAAAUGUACCAUUCAACACAUGCUCACUUUUUUUUUUUGCUUUUAACAUUAAGAUUUAUAUAUAUUUUGUAUAGAUACAUAUUUUGAAGUCAUCCAGGAAUUGCACUGGCAGAGAAGGCUGGAAUACUUUUACAGGAGUACUAUUUACAGGAAUCGUGGAGACCUUCUAAGGUCUUUCCAGGUUUUGUUUGUGUUUUUUUUUUUUGUCCUUGCUAUUUCUAAGAAGCACACAUAAAUUCUGCUGAAACUUGAGCUUAAGCUUACAUGCCUGCAUUGUCUUUACAGUGCUCUGAAACACAAAGUGAUUAACAGUAGGCCAAACUCUCGAAGUGUUUACAUGCUGUAAUAUCUAAUUCCUGUUUGUACAAUGGCUUUGUAAGAGCCAAAGUAGAUAUUUGCUCACAUGUAAUAAAUAGCUUCCAUGAAAUGUAUGUUAAUGCUAUUGGCAAGCUAGGAAAUAAAUGCAGUUUUCGGAGAUGGUCUCUCAGGGUAUGCCUUGAGCUAGUCAGCUUACUAGCUGGGCGCAAUUCCAGCUCAUAAAAGACUUUGUUCCUAUGUUAGAAGCAAAUACAGUUUUUUUGUGUGGCAGUAAAUUGUGGUGUAAGAGUUGGUGGUACCUACGUAUCUCUGUAGGUAUGAUGUAUUUAUUUAAUAAGGAGGACCAAGGCCUAUCUCUAUACAUUAGUUUCAUUUAUUCACUAUGAAGUAGGGUAGUGUACUAGAAGUACAACCCAGGAAGCAGUUCACGGGCAGCAGAAUCAUGAAACCUAGUUGUACUGCAGAUGGUUUUGUUAUCCAAAGUAAUCCAACUUCCACUUGAGGCUUUUUAUGUAACUGAGGUGUUUCUGAUAUCCCAUACCUGUAACACCAAGGAAGUACCCGUUAACAAGUUAUUAGAGGCAGAUGGACAUUAACAUAAUUACGCAGUGUGAUUUUUAUGAAGCAUAAGGUUGGAAAUUGAUUUCUAGUGUUGUGAAUUUCAUUACCAAGUUCAUAAACGAUCUGUGUAGUGGUGCAAAUUGCUUAAUUUAUAAGGAGAGCACGUGAGGUAGUUAGGGAGGCUCACAGACUUUCAGUAGAAAGUUAGAGCUCUAUUUUGUUUGUUUAUAGUGUAGAAUGAGGUCUGUGCUAGCAGGUUAAGACAAAAUACUUCUUCAUCAGUAGGAGAAGACUGGCAUCCAGUUUUGACAUCUAGUACCUCAACUUGGUGAAAUUCUGCUCCCUCUCAGCCCAGUUGCUCCAGCUGUUACAGUACAUGUUGGGAUAACCUCAUAAAGACUUUGUGAAGCCCUGUCACUUUGCAAAUGCACUAAUAUCCUGCAUGUUCCCUCAGGAGAGAUGUGGAAAGUUUGAAUUAUUCAAACAAAUGCUCAUCUUGAAUGUGUUAGUGGUAUUAAAAUAAAUCAGGAUGUUUGCACCUGUUUUCUUUGAUACUUCCCUACUUGUGACCAAAUUAUUGCACUUUGGGCUGAACUUGAGAUUUAGUAGGUUCACUUCUAUGGAUUCAGGUGGGACCUUGCGAUGGGGUAUGUCACCUACUCAGCACUGGUAGGGUGUAGCUACUAAAUUUCUGCUUCUGAACAGAUGUCUUUGAGAGUCAGCAUUGAUGGAAACUUAAGCCUUUAAUGACUUCUAGCUGCCUAGAUUUGCCCCAAUUUUGAAUUACUGAAUUCUGAUUCAGUGCUAGUGAAUCAUUCCCCUUUAACUGCCUAACUUAGAUUUCAUGAAUGUGGAAUUAAGACUCUAAAUUAGAAGAAAUAGAGUUGAGAUCCCUCUGAGCAAAACUCAGUGCAGAACGAAACUUGGAAUCAUCACAGAAUCAUAGAAUCACCAGGGUUGGAAAAGACCCACAGGAUUACCCUGUCCAACCAUCCGCCCAUUACCAAUAGUUCUCACUAAACUAUGUCCCUCAACACAGUGUCCAAAUGUUCCUUCAACACCUCCAGGGUCAGUGACUCCACCACCUCCCUGGGCAGCCCAUUCCAGUGCCUGACCACCCUUUCAGAGAAGUAGUAUUUCCUAACGUCCAGCCUGAUUUUUCCCUGGUGCAGCUUGAAGCCAUUCCCUCUAGUCCUAUCACUAGUCACACGAGAGAAGAGGCUGGCCCCCAGUUCUCUUCAGGUAGUUAUAGAGAGCAAUAAAUUAUCCCCUGAGCCUCCUCUUCUCUAGACUGAACAAUCCCAGUUCCUUCAACUGCUCCUCAUUAGGCCUGCGCUCCAGACCCCUCACCAGCUUUGUUGCCCUUUGAACGUGCUUCAGGGCCUCGAUGUCUUUCUUACAGUGAGGGGCCCAAAAGUGGACACAGAUUCUCAAGCUGUCAUAGAAUAACUUUUCUUCUAUGUACUCUAGACCAUACUUUCUUGGAAAAACGUGAGCUGAGGGUUGUACCUGUGUGGAUAGAAACAUUUAUUUAUUUAUUUAUUUAUUCCUGAGAAGACUGAAGUAAUGUUAUAGGCAAACUAACUUCCAAUUCUGCUGGUACAGCAAGGUAUACAGCAUGGUAGAUGUAUACUAAGGACUACAGAGACUUGAGGAAAGACCUUUUUAUCUUUGGGCAUUGGUUUGUAGAGUACGUAUGAUUAGUAGAGGGGUGCACUAUGGUAAAAUAGGAUCUGAAGUAGUGAAGAGUGCUGUAACUUGGGUUUUAUUGUCUUAUGAAAUGUUCUGGGAGGCCUAUUUUUAAAAAUAUUGUUAAUGUUUUACUCUAAGUGCAGCUUUAAGUAGAAUGGAUUUAGCUUUACCUUAUUUACCUUACAAUUUGUGUAGGUAAGGUUUAUGCACAGUUAACAGUCUUGUGAUUCACUGUUGUUUAAAAUUUACUGAAUGUACAAUGUAAGAUUAUUUUUUUUGUUACUGUUGCGGAUUGCUCCUUUUUGCAUGUUUUGGUCCUCUUCUCAUUCCACUUGGGAAAAAGAGGGUGUGCUAACAUCUGUUAUAAUACACACUCUUUGUUCAGUUGCAGGAAGUUGAAGGAUCAAGUGUAUUUUGUUUUUAUGCAUGUCCUUUAGCUUAUUCCUCCUAGAAAUAGUUUUUCAUCUAGUCUGUGCCUGCAUAAACUGAAAAGCUGGGCAUCAGCUACAGAGUUAACGCUUUGCAAGUUGUGUGGGCAAAAGCAACAGUAAAUAACAGAAGUUGAGUGAUACUGCUUUGUGUAUGUAUAAAUACUCAUGUUGUGACUUACCUGAUAACUUAUUAGCAUGCUGCCUCUUGUUGAACAGGUUUCUGAUCACAGAAUCUCCUUGAGCAUCAUUGUUCUGAUUAAGUCAAAGUAUUGCAAACAUAUGGACUAAGGAAAAUUCUCAUCUCUAGGCACAAUAGAACUUGAAUAUUUUAUAACUUAAUGGGGAAAGGAAGAGCUAUUCCCUGUACCUUAUGUGCUUAGAGGAGACCAAAAUAGUUUAAUCUUUUGCAAAUGCUUCAAAGAAGAAUACUGGAGUACUAACUGAAUUAUAUGGGGUUUCCAUAUCUCCCCCACCCCCCCCUAUUGCUGAUGCCAGACUGAAGCAAUGAUACUGAAUGUGGAUUUUUCAUAUUAGGAUUAGAUUGCAGAACAAUUCCAAUUACAUGACACUUUUUAUUCUGUUACACGUGAAUAUUUUGUGUAAGUUGCUGCUUUCCUUUGUUGCAGUCUUCCUUAUUGACUAUUCCCUCUCUGGGAACGGUUCAGAUGUUCUUGUCUGACAGUGUUUUAAUUUCUUAUUUAAAAAAAAAAAAAAAAAAAAAAAAAAAAAAAGGAAAGAAAGAAAGAAAAAAGGUAGGAGGGAGCUCUGCCCCCGCCCGUCCCGCAGCCGGCAGGGGCGCUCGACGGAAGCCGGAUGCGGUCGCUGUGCGCUGGGCUUCCCGGCUACGCGCCGGGCGGCAGCGGGGCUGGCUGCGUGCUGCGGGGCCGCUGAGCGGUGCGUCAGGCAGCAGCAGCACCACAAAGCAGCAAUGCUUCGGGUCUUCGGCGGCAGGUACCGGCCUGCUGAAUUCUCUGUGAAGAUCACGCGAGGAGUUAUGCAGGGAUGGGGAAUUGGGAUACAGAGUGGUAGGGGCAUAAUGCAGUGCAGAUAAACAUCAAAGUUUAGGUUAACAUAGGGAAUAGUAGUAGAAUAGCAUUUGUAACAUGGAGGGGGGAUAGUCUACAAUGCUCCUCUGUGACUUGCAGUUAUUUCCCUGGCGUAGUCUCAUCUGUUCCCUUGUGAGGUCUCGGCUGAUAAAUCACUACAAUCACAAAGAAUCAAACAAAAUGUUUUAACAUUUUCAUUAAAAAUAAAAUAAAAUAAAAUUUAGUAAUUCAUUAAGAAAACCCACACUGACCCGUGUUUGUAGAUAAAUUCUCAAACUUUCGUAAUACUGUUAUGAACUCUUUCAAUAAAACAGUUAAUGGAUCUGUAGAUGAGGUCAACUUAGAGAUGCACGUGAAGUUUUACUGGCGUCACGUAAGUUUAUGGGAUCAUUGGUAGCAGAGCAGGAUAGUGCUAUGAAUGCAAAUGGUGCACAGCUUUUUCAAUUCAAGUCUUCUAGCUUAAUUAUCCUAACCUAAAAUACAAGGAUUUUCUUUAUAUACUUACCAUAGCAACUGUACAGUAAUUCUGCAUAACUGAGGGGGGGGAGGAAAGGUGUUUUGUUGUUGUUGUUGUUCCCUGCUGCUUCUAUAGCUUCAAGGAGCUCCAUGUGAGUGCUGGAUUUCCCCACUAAGUUCAAAGCAAGAGGAUGGUAUCAGAACCAAGAAGAGUUUAUGAAUGGUGGGGGUUAGUCCAGAAGUAGAUGCCUGAAUUUUCCAUAGGCACAUGAUGUGAACAUAGUAGUGAACACAACAGUACACAGUUGUAAUAAGAACUUCCUUAAUUGAUGUGAUGGAUGUAAAAAUAAUAGAUAGGACUCAGGACUGAGAGAGCCUUGAAGAAUGACUUAAAAAGAAAGCUUAACAGAUGUUUGAACUACUUUCAGAUAUCUGAAACAAAGUAGGAGAUAGCAUGAAAGUAUUUCUUCAUUUUAGAAGCUGGAAAUGGAGGCAGGUGCUGCAGUCCUUUGGAAAUCAGCAUCGUGGGUGGGAUGGGAACAGUAAAGGGACUUGCAAUCAAAGCUAAAUGGCCUGUGUUUGACAUGGCAAAAAGGAUGUGAGAGAAGCAGAUGUAAGUAAAGCAAGGAAAAUUAUUUUUGUAGUAGCUCUCUAAAGGGAUACAGGGAGAAUAGCACAGCCAAAUAAAGGGUUUUCAGUGCUUACAAGCAAGAUGACAGUCUGAAGAAGAAUGUUAGCUAUGUACGUAAGUAAAGUUAGUGCUGUAUGCCAAGAGAAAAUAAAGAGAUAGAUAGAAGAUGGAAAUUUGAUUUCUAACAACUCUUUUCGUUAACCUGUAGAAUUGGAGGAUAGAAGUUUCAGUGAGUCGUUACCAAUAGGAGAUAUGAUAAAAUGCCAGUUUGCUUUAAAUCCAUGGGCUCUGGGAUCAUCUGUUGCUGAUGGCAAACUUCUGUACAGUUCAAGAAACUCACAUUGUAUUUCUUAUCUGGCAAGACUUUUCCCCUCUCUUCUAAUAAAUUAUUUUUGUAUCUUUAUUGUGAACGAGCGUGUCUUGUAUUAGGUGUUGAGGAAUCACUUUGUGGUCCUCAGGAUUUCCUCUACCAUCUUCAAGUUGCCAAGUAAGAUCCCACGCUUUCUGCUUCCCACAUCCAAAUUGUUUUCCCCAGUGAUAUUCUUCAAUAUUCAGAAGUGUUCUCUUUAAGAACAAGUGUUUUACUGAGUGGCAAGGGAUUUGCUAUCUACUAACAGCGUACAGACAAGGCAUUGAAUUGUUAAUUAUUUCUAUUUUGAUUGAAACCAC